rnacentral:rRNA from 1 species
AGUGAACGCUGGCGGUAGGCCUAACACAUGCAAGUCGAACGGCAGCACAGUAAGAGCUUGCUCUUACGGGUGGCGAGUGGCGGACGGGUGAGGAAUACAUCGGAAUCUACUUUUUCGUGGGGGAUAACGUAGGGAAACUUACGCUAAUACCGCAUACGACCUACGGGUGAAAGCAGGGGAUCUUCGGACCUUGCGCGAUUGAAUGAGCCGAUGUCGGAUUAGAUAGUUGGCUGGGUAAAGGCCCACCAAGGCGACGAUCCGUAGCGGGUCUGAGAGGAUGAUCGGCCACAGGGGAAGUGAGACACGGUCAAGACUCCUACGGGAGGCAGCAGUGGGGAAUAUUGGGCAAGGGGCGAAAGCCUGACCGAGCAAUGCCGCGGGAGUGAAGAAGGUCUUCGGUUGGUAAAGCUCUUUUGUUGGGAAAGAAAAGAAGUGGUUUAAACCCCGCCGAUCUUGACGGUACCCAAAGAAAAAGCCCCGGCUAACUUCGUG